AGGGCAAGAAAAACCCAAGCACUGUUGG
rnacentral:piRNA from 1 species